rnacentral:rRNA from 1 species
UGAGGAAUUUUGCGCAAUGGGCGAAAGCCUGACGCAGCGACGCCGCGUGGAGGAAGACGGCCUUCGGGUUGUAAACUCCUGUCAGGGGUGAAGAAACUUCGCAAGAAGCUGACGGUAACCCCAGAGGAAGCCCCGGCUAACUCCGUGCCAGCAGCCGCGGUAAUACGUAGGGGGCAAGCGUGGCUCGGAAUUGCUGGGCGUAAAGGGUGGGUAGGUGGCUGAUUAAGUUAAGGAUGAAAUCCCGAGGCUCAACUUCGGAACUGUCCUUGAUACUGGGCAGCUUGAGGCUAGUAAAGGAGAGCGGAAUUCCCGGUGGAGCGGUGAAAUGCGUAGAGAUCGGGAGGAACACCAGAGGCGUAGGCGGUUCUCUAGGCUAGUCCUGACACUGAGACACGAAAGCUAGGGGAGCAAACG